AUGCAGAGGAACUUCUCGCUCAUCUAUCUCACCCUCUUCUGGACAGGAGUCAUGUCAGCUAUCGUGUUGGUAUCUCAAGACCAAGAGGUGACUAUGUCCUUGGGGAUGUCUGCCACCCUCAGGUGCUCCUUGAAGGGAGAAACGAUCAGUAACUACUAUAUCAGCUGGUACAGGCAGACCCAGGGUAACACAAUGACUUUCAUACACCGAGAAGGGGGCAUGUAUGGCCGUGGUUUCUUCGGCAAGUUCCGGGCUAACAUUAAUGAUUCAAGCAAUGAGGCUGAGCUUGAGAUCCUUAAAGCAUCAGAAAGAGAUGAAGGAAUUUACUACUGUGCCAGCGACUACCACCCUCCCUCAAGUGCUGUGUCAGACAAACUCAUCUUUGGAAAAGGAGUCCGUGUAAUCGUGGAACCAAAAAAUCAGCCUCCUGCCAAACCAUCUGUUUUCAUCAUGAAAAAUGGGACCAAUGUUGCUUGUCUGGUGAAGGAUUUCUACCCCAAAAAUGUAGAUAUAAGUCUCCAGUCAUCCAAGAAAAUAAUAGAAUUUGACCCUGCUAUCGUCGUCUCUCCCAGUGGGAAGUACAGUGCUGUCAAGCUUGGUCGGUAUGAAGAUUCUAAUUCAGUGACAUGUUCAGUUCAACACAAUAAAAUCUGGUACUCCGCUAACUUUGAAAAGAUGACAAAUUCUUCAGAUCAUCUAAAACCAAUGGAACCUGAAAAAAAACACCAAACUUCAGAGAUCUACCAUAAACCCAAAGUUCAUGCCGAGAAGGUGAACAUGAUGUCCCUCACAGUGCUGGGGCUCCGAGUGCUGUUUGCCAAGACUGUUGCUGUCAAUUUUCUCUUGACUGCCAAGUUACUUUUCUGUUAAGGCUGACAGGCAGGAGACAGCUACACUUCCUGAAAGAAACCAAAGCCUACAAAAGUGCUUCUAAGGCUUCUGACUUCUCAGUGAUUCAAGUUAACCCGCCCCAGCCUUGCUUAAAUGGCUGCUUCCCAAACAAGUUUCUCUUUGAAGGCAACAAACCCAGCUCAUCCUCCAGCCUCGUGGAAAGACAAAGUCCUGGGGGGUAGAGUUAUGGUACUGCGUGCUUUAUAUGCUGCUUUAUAAAUGGAUAUAGAGAUAAAAGGGGACAGAGGGCUCAU